UAAACUUGUAACAAUUAGGUGAAACUCAUUUAUAUUCUAGCAUCUAAUUCAUGUAUGAAAACUAAGUAUGCAUCUUUAAUAAACAUACAAGAAUCAGUUAUGAAGAAAAUAGAUAAUUGAAUUGCAAUCACAACUUAUGAAAUCACAAUUGGAAGAAAUCAAUUCAUAUCACAAGCAUGUUCAUGGCUUCAAACUUCCCCCUAACUAAAUAGGGGUUUAGUUCCUCAUGUUCACAAAACAAAGAUAAAUAGAAUUAUACAUUGAAAAACAAAAGAAAGAAAACACCUAAACGUUCCAACGAUCCAUGUUGGAUAGCAAGCACGUACAAGAACUUUCCUCUUCUUCUUUGUUGCAACACAAGGUUGGAGUGAUGUUUUGAAGGGUUGGUUAUGUGGAGGAAUGGAUGGGAAGGAGUUUAGAUAUGUAGGGAGAGGCAAGGCAAGGCUUUGGAGAAUGGUUAAUUUCUGGAUGAUUUGAAUGAGGUUGCUGCCAUGGUAUUUAUAGGAAAAUGAUGGACUUGUUUAACACAAAAUUCUGGUGGAAUUGAGUAGGUGAGCACGGCAAGAGUGGGAAUUGUUGGUGGGUUAGGUAUUGAGUCAUCCAUUCACAUGUCAUGAUGAGUUAAGCAUUGCAUCAUCCACUCACAUGUCAUGGUGAUUUAAGCAUUGCAUCAUCCACUCACAUGUCAUGGUGAUUUAAGCAUUGCAUCAUCACUCAAAUUUCUGGUGAAAGUGAAUCAAUGCCCACAGCAUUGAAGAAUUUCUUGGUUUUGAGUGAAGUUUUGGUCAAUCCUUCUAGAAAUUUAUCCCUUCUUGCAACUUGUAUUUGUUUCACCAGAUUUUUAGCAUGUCAUAGCCUCUUUUGUCUUCAAAUUCAUCCCUCCUCAUGCCUCCAUGCUUGCACAAUCCAAUCUUGGCCCAAAAAUGCUCUAGAAUGUUCCAAAUUGCUCCUUUUUGCAUACUUUGACAAUAAAACCUGAAAUUGCACGAAAAUGACUUUAAACACUAAACUAACUAAGGAAAAAUAACAUAAAUGCAUGAGAACAAGCCAAUUAAGUCGCAUAAAAAUGCUCCUAUCACUUUGGGUCCUACGAGUUGAGUUUGGUGAGGUGGUCUUCUACCAACCUUGGAUUUGGAGGGCUUUGGUUUCCUUAACAACGAACUGAAGCAGAGAACCAGAAAACAAUGGAACCGUUUUCUCGUCUUCCACUGGAGAUUUCAAAAGGAAGUUUGCUCUCUGAAUCAGCUUGCAAAUUAUGGUGUUCGCAUCUCUCACUUUCUCAAGCGUCAAAGUAUCGCUCUUGGGGUUCGCAUCGGCUUUGAAUGAAGCAUCUUCCCUGUAACUCGCGAGUUGGGAUAUUAGAUUGGCUUCCAGUGAAAUGACUUCUUGUGUUGCUACUUGU
rnacentral:lncRNA from 1 species